rnacentral:rRNA from 1 species
UAAACCUCUUUUAUAAGGGAAUAAAGUGCGGGACGUGUCCCGUUUUGUAUGUACCUUAUGAAUAAGGAUCGGCUAACUCCGUGCCAGCAGCCGCGGUAAUACGGAGGAUCCGAGCGUUAUCCGGAUUUAUUGGGUUUAAAGGGUGCGUAGGCGGCCUUUUAAGUCAGCGGUGAAAGUCUGUGGCUCAACCAUAGAAUUGCCGUUGAAACUGGGGGGCUUGAGUAUGUUUGAGGCAGGCGGAAUGCGUGGUGUAGCGGUGAAAUGCAUAGAUAUAAAGCAGUNCCCCGUUUGCGANGUCACCCUNCCAUCCCUUUUCUNUCNCUCCUNCNCNNNNNCNUCCCCUCAAAAAGGUUUUNNUNCNNUNNUNNUNCNNNCNNUCACCCCUUAGGGGGGCUGUUGCGAUACACUGUAAGCGGCACAGCGAAAGCGUUAAGUGUUCCCCCCUGGGGAGUACGCCGGCAACGGUGAAAUUCAAAGGAAUUGACGGGGGCCCGCACAAGCGGAGGAACAUGUGGUUUAAUUCGAUGAUACGCGAGGAACCUUACCCGGGGUUUGAACGCAUUCGGACCGAGGUGGAAACACCUUUUCUAGCAAUAGCCGUUUGCGAGGUGCUGCAUGGUUGUCGUCAGCUCGUGCCGUGAGGUGUCGGCUUAAGUGCCAUGACGAGCGCAACCCUUGCCACUAGUUACUAACAGGUAAAGCUGAGGACUCUGGUGGGACUGCCAGCGUAAGCUGCGAGGAAGGCGGGGAUGACGUCAAAUCAGCACGGCCCUUACAUCCGGGGCGACACACGUGUUACAAUGGCGUGGACAAAGGGAUGCCACCUGGCGACAGGGAGCGAAUCCCCAAACCACGUCUCAGUUCGGAUCGGAGUCUGCAACCCGACUCCGUGAAGCUGGAUUCGCUAGUAAUCGCGCAUCAGCCAUGGCGCGGUGAAUACGUUCCCGGGCCUUGCAAACACCCCCCGUCAAG